AUUGAACGCUGGCGGCAGGCCUAACACAUGCAAGUCGAACGGCAGCACAGAAGAGCUUGCUCUUUGGGUGGCGAGUGGCGGACGGGUGAGUAACACGUAGGAAUCUACCCAGUAGUGGGGGAUAACCUGGGGAAACCCAGGCUAAUACCGCAUACGCCCUGAGGGGGAAAGCGGGGGAUCUUCGGACCCCGCGCUAUUGGAUGAGCCUGCGUCGGAUUAGCUAGUUGGUGGGGUAAGGGCUCACCAAGGCGACGAUCCGUAGCUGGUCUGAGAGGAUGACCAGUCACACCGGAACUGAGACACGGUCCGGACUCCUACGGGGGAG
rnacentral:rRNA from 1 species